UACGUAGGGGGCAAGCGUUGUCCGGAAUCAUUGGGCGUAAAGAGCGUGUAGGCGGCUUGGUAAGUCGGCUGUGAAAGUCGGGGGCUCAACCCUCGAAUGCCGGCCGAUACUGUCAAGCUAGAGUCCGGAAGAGGCGAGUGGAAUUCCUGGUGUAGCGGUGAAAUGCGCAGAUAUCAGGAGGAACACCAAUAGCGAAGGCAGCUCGCUGGGACGGUACUGACGCUAAGGCGCGAAAGCGUGGGGAGCGAACAGG
rnacentral:rRNA from 1 species